UUCUCGAAUUUAGAAGAGCUACUUUUUUUAUUGUAAUAAAUAUUAGUAAUUUGCAAUGAAAUGUUAAUAUAUCUAGUUUUCUAAGAAAAUUUAAUUUUUUUAUUUAUUUAGGGAUGAGCUUGAAUUAGGAUUAGAAGUUUUGUUAUAUUUAAUAUAUUAGAAUAAAAUAUAAAAUUUUUUUUGUAAUAAUGAUUAAAUUAGUAUAUGGUUAAGAAAAGGAAUUCGGCAAAUAUUUUUCACCUGUUUAUUAAAAACAUGGCCUUUUGAAUAUAAUUUGAGGUCUAACCUGCUCUAUGAGGCCGCGGUAUCCUGACCGUGCAAAGGUAGCAUAAUAAUUAGUUUUUUAAUUGGAAGCUGGAAUGAAUGGUUGAAUGAGAAAAUGACUGUCUCUUUUUAAUAGAAUUUUAUUUUUUAGUAAGAAAGCUAAAAUAAUAUUAAAAGACGAGAAGACCCUAUAGAGUUUGAUUUUUGUUGGGGCGAUGGAAAAAUUGAUUAAACUUUUGAUUAUAAGAAGUAAUUACCUUAGGGAUAACAGCGUAAUUUUUCUUAGAGUUCAAAUUGAAAGAAAAGAUUGCGACCUCGA
rnacentral:rRNA from 2 species